rnacentral:lncRNA from 1 species
CAACAUCAAACUCCCCUUGCACCCAACUACCUCCAGCAGUCCUACAAGUUCUCAAGUUUGAUCAUUGUUGCUUUCAAUUGCCUCCCUGAAGAUCCUCUCAAGGUCUUGCACUUCUUCAGCCACAAUUGAAACAUAAUCCACAAGGUCUCCAUGGUCAUCCCCUUUGGUUCAACAAUACCACUCUCCUCCCUAUCUCCGAUUAGAUAGCCAAGAGCUAAUGUUGACUGUCUACCACUAUUGGAAGACUCCACCUCAAACUGAUUUUCCACCAAAGUAUACCCACUAUGAUCUCCACCUUGUAAC